rnacentral:misc_RNA from 1 species
GGAGUCAACAAAGAUAGCUAUCUGAUCUUAGAUACUCUUCCAUCAGAGUAUGACUCAAGAGUGAAGGCCAUGGAGGUUGAUGAGAAACCAACAGAGGACUACAAUGACAUUGGGGGCUUGGAGAAACAGAUCCAGGAGCUGGUUGAGGCAAUUGUAUUGCCCAUGACUCACAAGGAGAGGUUUCAGAAGUUAGGUAUUCGUCCUCCCAAAGGUGUCCUCUUGUAUGGACCUCCUGGGACAGGGAAGACGUUGAUGGCCCGAGCUUGUGCUGCACAAACAAAUGCUACUUUUCUAAAAUUGGCAGGCCCGCAACUUGUGCAGAUGUUCAUUGGUGAUGGUGCCAAACUUGUCCGUGAUGCCUUUCAGCUCGCAAAAGAGAAAUCACCCUGCAUCAUAUUUAUAGAUGAAAUUGA